rnacentral:rRNA from 1 species
UACGUAGGGGGCAAGCGUUGUCCGGAAUCAUUGGGCGUAAAGAGCGUGUAGGCGGCCCGGUAAGUCCGCUGUGAAAGUCCAGGGCUCAACCCUGGGAUGCCGGUGGAUACUGUCGGGCUCGAGUCCGGAAGGGGCCCACGGAAUUCCUGGUGUAGCGGUGAAAUGCGCAGAUAUCAGGAGGAACACCUGUGGCGAAAGCGGCUCACUGGACCAUUACUGACGCUGAGGCUCGAAAGCUAGGGGAGCAAACAGG